rnacentral:tRNA from 1 species
GAGGGCGUAGCUUAGUGGUUAAGUGUGUGAUUAGCAUCCACGAGGCCUUGGGUUCAAUCCCCAGCACCCCCC